AUCUUAUCCACCCAUACGUCAAACACAUCAGCCAUCGUGGCCGUGCUUUUACAUCCGAGCACAUUCUUUGUGUUGCGUUACGUUUUUUUGCUAACGGUAGUUUUCUUUAUAACAUUGGAGACGCUGAGCACAUUAGUGAAGCCACUGUGUUAGAAUAGUUUGAUCUCAAGCGCUUUCCUUGACACAAACUCCUUAAAGCCAUUAAAGAGGAGUUUCACAGGAUUGCAGGUAUGUGGUAUUUAAUUUGUUUAAUUGAGGCUAAUCUGAAAAAUGAUGAUCAGUUAAUAAAAUCUUGCUGUGAUCUGAAAUAAACUGAUAAAUGUGCAGGUUCACUGACUACUCUUUCUAAUGGUCACUGUAACUGACAUUACAUUGUUUACAUCACCAAGAUCAUAUGUGAUGCUGCGCAUAUCAUAAACGUGAACUCAUGAAUAUAUAGUGAGUCAACCCUAAAUAACAGGCUGCACUGUGGAGAGAUUGAUGGCUUUCUGCUGGAGAUAGGGGUUAAUGGCAGCCCACACUACUGACCCCUCACCCAGAACCUGAAGCAGAACCCCAGCAGCGCUUUAAUGUGGCCCUGCAGAACAAGAGCCCGGGUGGAAAUGACCAUAGGCCUGUUGAAAGCACGCCUUCAGUGCCUACGUCACCUCAGGGAAACACCUGAGAGGUCUUAUUAUUAUUAUUAUUACCUCAGGGAAACACCUGAGAGGCCUGUGAAAUUAUUGUGGCAUGUGUUGUUCUCCACAUUAUUGCAAUUAUUAGAGAGGAGCAACACCCUGCCCUACAAAUACAAGACCCUGAGGAGACUCCUUCCAUUACAGUGAUCUGCAGAGUGGAUGGACAGAUUUGCUUUAAUGUCUUAAUCAACCAUCACCACCACCACCAAUAAAAGAAACUGAACAGAUGUAAAUCAUAA